rnacentral:lncRNA from 1 species
UGCUUUCUCUUGGGCCUGCACCUGGCACAGCCACUGAUGCAGUUUCUGAUUCACCUUGGCAAUGACAGUGGCAAUCCCAGCAGCCACAGGCAGCUUCCACAUCAGCAGUCACAUCUACAUGCCAACCAGGCAGCUCUCACAGGUCCCAGGUUCUGGGUAGCCAGCCUUCCUGCCUCUUCCCCAAGCCACCCAUUACCCAUCCUUCCAGGAAGAGCUGCAAUCACCUGAGAUGCCUUAUACAGUUUCUAAUGAAGCAUUCAAUGACAAAGGUCAUGCCUGUCCCCUUAAAAACUCAUUUCUUUCAUAUUUUAAGCAAUACUAACAACACAAUACCUGGUUUAAGGUUUUGUUUUCAACAAGUCCUUUAUUGCAGUAGUUUACAUCACUGUACUAGAACACAGAGAAAUAUUCUAGGAUGGAUAAUUAUAAGGAAAUUCAUAAAAAAGGAACGCGCAAGCCCCAGCCCAGUCCGCGGGCGCCACUCCGGCUCCAGGGCGAGGACGCAGCUACUCACCGCUCGCCGCCCGUCACCUCUCCUUACUGGACCCCGAUCGCUGGAACGGCUCACGGAUUAUUUAAAAGCCGGCUCCGGAGAUCCCCGGGACGGCUUCCCGAGAGCCCGCCCCGCUGCCCCGCCCGCCAGCCCGGACGGGAACGGACCGCGGGUCAGCAGGACCCCGGACCCUGCGGGAGGCAGCCGAACCCAGACACCCGGCGAAGACCUGUUGCGGCCUCCCCCUGUCCCCGACCAACUUCCAGAGAUGGAGCUGCCGGGACGGGGGUGACCCUUAAACGUACUCACCGGCUACGGCCGAGCUGAGCGCGGGACCAGGGGCUGGGUCCCGACCCGCACGGUAAUUUAAAUAUCGCCAAGCCUCGGCCUCCGGCCGCGCUCUGAUUGGUCGGCCGAGCAGGCGGUCAGGCUGCCCCGAGGGCACCCACCGGACCCCGCGGAACUUCACUUCCUGCGCCUGGAACCCGGCCCCUGCACACCCUGCUCGGGACACGUCGCCUUGCACCCGACCAGAGCCCUCUCCUCGGAAUGCAGCUACCUUCCCGAAAACUCCAGGUUCCCAGGCGCCUCCGGUGACUCCUCCGGGCCUUUAGACUCUGUGGCCUGCUCCGAAGGCGUUGUUUGUGAAACAAAACUAAAGGAAAGCCAAACCACAGGGGUGGGGGUGCAGCGCUUGAAUACCAUGCACGUGGCCUUGGGUUCUCCUCGCAGCACCCAGACAAAACACAACAAAACUAGUUUGGUUCCUUAGUGUGUGUCUUUGCAUUGCUUAGUUACUGGACUCAUAAAAAGGACUGAGCUGUGAAAAGGGCAUCUGCUAACGCUCAGAGCACACUACAUCCGAUCCGAUCGCUGGGUGCAUAUGGGCCUCCUGGACUGACGGCGUCUGAGAAUCUUCACCCCUGCUGGCGUUGCGCUGAGCCAUGGAAAGCCAGAAGUAACCAUCCUUGUGACUCCCCUCCUACUGGGCGCCACGUCCUCACUCACCACUUCCUUUCUGGAAUUGAGGAUACAGUGGCCCUUUUUGUCUGCCCACAUCUGUGGAUUCAACAGAAUGCUGGAGAUCACACGCUAAGCAAGCACCUUUCUGCAGCAUGACACCCACAGCGCAGCAGCACUCGGUGGAUUCCUUACAGCCUUGCCCCGCACGCUGCUUCUCUAGGCUCUCAGGACGCAGCGCAGUUGAUUCACAGUGGGGAAAUUGUCUUGAGCAGAAUGGAGUCACUCGUGGCACGCUCACACUGAUGGAUUCAGGCUUCCAAGGGUGGGUCCUGGAGAGGAUCGCCUAGCAACAGGAACUUUCAUGAAAGACGUUGCCAAAAC